GUGGGGAAUCUUAGACAAUGGGGGAAACCCUGAUCUAGCCAUGCCGCGUGAGCGAUGAAGGCCUUAGGGUUGUAAAGCUCUUUCAGCUGGGAAGAUAAUGACGGUACCAGCAGAAGAAGCCCCGGCUAACUCCGUGCCAGCAGCCGCGGUAAUACGGAGGGGGCUAGCGUUGUUCGGAAUUACUGGGCGUAAAGCGCACGUAGGCGGACUGGAAAGUCAGGGGUGAAAUCCCGGGGCUCAACCCCGGAACUGCCUUUGAAACUCCCAGUCUUGAGUUCGAGAAAGAUGAGUGGAAUUCCGAGUGUAGAGGUGAAAUUCGUAGAUAUUCGGAGGAACACCAGUGGCGAAGGCGGCUCACUGGCUCGAUACUGACGCUGAGGUGCGAAAGCGUGGGGAGCAAACAGGAUUAGAUACCCUAGUAGUCC
rnacentral:rRNA from 1 species